UCCCUGGUGGUCCAGUGGCUAAGACUCGGCGCUGCCAAAGCAGGGGACCUAGGUUCGACCCCUGGUCAGGGAG
rfam:TPA: Bos taurus chromosome 18, whole genome shotgun sequence.